UGAUCAGCCUGCACUCCCCCUGCUGGGGAUCAAGCCUCCAUCCCCGGAACGGGUCCUGAACAGGAACCGAAUCCCAGUCACCUGGGAUCCUAGGUCAGCGCUCAACCACUGAGCCACGCCUGGCAGGGCUAAGUUAUUUCACUCUUGAAAGAAAAGAUUGGAAUGGAACGAGAAAACAGAGGUGAAGACUUUGAAGAUUUGAGUUUGGAAAAAAAAAUUGUUUAAAGGCAUUUACAUGGACCAACUUUACCCAGGACAAUUUCCAUUAUGAUAUAAGAACUUCCUGUGUGUUUCUACUUCCCAAAUGUCAACAUUGUUACAGGUAUAUUGCUGCAUAUUUAAAAUAUUAUUAAAGACAUUACUCUCUUUUCAACUCA